GUUUCAACUGACCUCCCUCCAUCACUGUGUUAGAAGCCAGUUUCCCUCCACUUGCAAAUUCACGAGGCCAUCGAGACUUCAAAUGUGCAGGCAGCCGGAGCCUCGGAUGAUGGCUGCCUUUUGCCGGGGACCCUUGGGCAGACCUCUUGGAGGAAUCCGACUGCGAUUUUCCCCAAACAACGUCCCCUUUUAGCAGGAAGUAGCUAAGACCAGUCAUCAUCUAUAUUCUAACGGCAGUUAGAUGUGCCUCUUCAGAGGGGGAAAUGAUACAGAACAGCCAGAAUAAACCCCACUCUUAGGCCUGGAACCACAACCUUAAGUGAAAACAGCUGGCCCUGUUUCUCCUGCCCAAAUGUUGCCUUUUUGGCCUGCCACCCCUUAUCCUGUGCCCAUAAAAGGACUUCAGCUGGCAGAGCAACACAAAUGGCUGAGCAUCAGGGAUACAAGCUGCUGAGUGUUGGGCAUAUACGCGGCUGAGUAGCGAACAAAGAAGUAACAACUGAGCAUUGGAGACUAUGGAUAGAUGCAGCUAACUUCAGACAGUGUGGCUUCAAGGAAAGAUCACCUUCUUCCCCUUUCCCCAUCCCACUAAGAAUCACUUUUAUCAGCCAAUAAAAUCCUCUUCAUACAC
rnacentral:lncRNA from 1 species